GGGUCGUUAGCUCAGUUGGUAGAGCAUCUGACUUUUAAUCAGGUGGUCGCAGGUUCGAUCCCUGCACGACCCACCA
rnacentral:tRNA from 10 species